rnacentral:rRNA from 1 species
AUUGAACGCUGGCGGCAUGCCUUACACAUGCAAGUCGAACGGCAGCACGGGAGCAAUCCUGGUGGCGAGUGGCGAACGGGUGAGUAAUAUAUCGGAACGUGCCCAGUCGUGGGGGAUAACGUAGCGAAAGCUACGCUAAUACCGCAUACGAUCUGUGGAUGAAAGCGGGGGACCGUAAGGCCUCGCGCGAUUGGAGCGGCCGAUGUCAGAUUAGGUAGUUGGUGGGGUAAAGGCUCACCAAGCCGACGAUCUGUAGCUGGUCUGAGAGGACGACCAGCCACACUGGGACUGAGACACGGCCCAGACUCCUACGGGAGGCAGCAGUGGGGAAUUUUGGACAAUGGGCGCAAGCCUGAUCCAGCAAUGCCGCGUGCAGGAUGAAGGCCUUUGGGUUGUAAACUGCUUUUGUACGGAGCGAAACGGCUUCCACUAAUACUGGGGGCUAAUGACGGUACCGUAAGAAUAAGCACCGGCUAACUACGUGCCAGCCGCCGCUGUAACAC